rnacentral:rRNA from 1 species
UACGUAGGGUGCGAGCGUUGUCCGGAUUUAUUGGGCGUAAAGAGCUCGUAGGCGGCCUGUUGCGUCCGCUGUGAAAUCCCGGGGCUUAACCCCGGGCUUGCAGUGGAUACGGGCAGGCUGGAGGCAGGCAGGGGAGAAUGGAAUUCCCGGUGUAGCGGUGAAAUGCGCAGAUAUCGGGAGGAACACCUGUGGUGUAGACGGCUUUCUGGACCAUUGCUGACGCUGAGACACGAAAGCGUGGGUAGCAAACAGG